GACGAACCGAGCGAACGUUGUUCGGAAUCACUGGGCUUAAAGGGCGCGUAGGCGGGCUGUCAAGUCUGGGGUGAAAUCCCGCGGCUCAACCGUGGAACUGCCUCAGAUACUGACGGCCUCGAGGGAGGUAGGGGCGAGCGGAACUAAUGGUGGAGCGGUGAAAUGCGUUGAUAUCAUUAGGAACUCCGGUGGCGAAGGCGGCUCGCUGGACCUCUUCUGACGCUGAGGCGCGAAAGCGUGGGGGAGCGAACAGG
rnacentral:rRNA from 1 species